GGAUCGCAGGCUGCAACCCGCCUGCGUGAAGCCGGAAUUGCUAGUAAUCGCGGAUCAGCAUGCCGCGGUGAAUACGUUCCCGGGCCUUGUACACACCGCCCGUCACACCAUGAGAGCCGGGGGGACCCGAAGUCCGUAGCCUAACCGCAAGGAGGGCGCGGCCGAAGGUAAAACUGGUGAUUGGGGUGAAGUCGUAACAAGGUAGC
rnacentral:rRNA from 1 species